UAAGACUGAGAACCGAUGACGAGGUCCCUUGAGGACUGAAGUUGUUGAUGCCAUGCUUCCAGGAAAAGCUUCUAAGCUUCAGGUUAUAACGAACCGUACCCCAAACCGACACAGGUGGUCAGGUAGAGAAUACUAAGGCGCAUGAGAGAACUCGGGUGAAGGAACUAGGCAAAAUGGUGCCGUAACUUCGGGAGAAGGCACGCUGCUGGCGGUGAUGAGCUUUACGCUCUAAGCUGCUGGCAGUCGAAGAUACCAGGUGGCUGCGACUGUUUAUUAAAAACAUAGCACUCUGCAAACACGAAAGUGGACGUAUAGGGUGUGACGCCUGCCCGGUGCCGGAAGGUUAAUUGAUGGGGUUAGCUUCGGCGAAGCUCUUGAUCGAAGCCCCGGUAAACGGCGGCCGUAACUAUAACGGUCCUAAGGUAGCGAAAUUCCUUGUCGGGUAAGUUCCGACCUGCACGAAUGGCGUAACGAUGGCCACACUGUCUCCACCCGAGACUCAGUGAAAUUGAAAUCGCUGUGAAGAUGCAGCGUACCCGCGGCUAGACGGAAAGACCCCGUGAACCUUUACUAUAGCUUCACAGUGGACUUUGACAUUACUUGUGUAGGAUAGCUGGGAGGCUUUGAAGCAUGGUCGCUAGAUCGUGUGGAGCCAAACUUGAAAUACCAGCCUGGUACUGUUGAGGUUCUAACUCUGUUCCCUUAUCGGGAUCGAGGACAUUGUGUGGUGGGUAGUUUGACUGGGGCGGUCUCCUCCCAAAGAGUAACGGAGGAGCACGAAGGUACCCUCAGCAUGGUCGGAAAUCAUGCAUUGAGUGCAAGCGCAUAAGGGUGCUUAACUGCGAGACAGACACGUCGAGCAGGUACGAAAGUAGGUGCUAGUGAUCCGGUGGUUCUGUAUGGAAGGGCCAUCGCUCAACGGAUAAAAGGUACUCCGGGGAUAACAGGCUGAUUCCUCCCAAGAGUUCACAUCGACGGGGGAGUUUGGCACCUCGAUGUCGGCUCAUCACAUCCUGGGGCUGAAGCCGGUCCCAAGGGUAUGGCUGUUCGCCAUUUAAAGUGGUACGCGAGCUGGGUUUAGAACGUCGUGAGACAGUUCGGUCCCUAUCUGCCGUGGGCGUUUGAGAUUUGAGAAGAGUUGCUCCUAGUACGAGAGGACCGGAGUGAACGAACCUCUGGUGUUCCGGUUGUCACGCCAGUGGCAUUGCCGGGUAGCUACGUUCGGACGGGAUAACCGCUGAAAGCAUCUAAGCGGGAAGCCCCCUUCAAGAUGAGAUCUCGCUGGGAACUUGAUUCCCCUAAAGAGCCGUUUAAGACUAAGACGUUGAUAGGCUGGGUGUGGAAGCGCUGCGAGGCGUUGAGCUAACCAGUACUAAUUGCUCGUGAGGCUUGACCAU
rnacentral:rRNA from 1 species